CUGUCUUGGAUGCCAUUCAUGCCUUCUCUCUCCCUCUUGUUCAUCUGGUGAACUGUCCCCUUGAGUUCUAAGCUUUUCCCCAAAUCCCCCCACACACAGAAUUAGGCAAACCUCCCUUCUCUAGACCCCAGAACCUCAUAUUCACCUAUUCACCAUUCAUUCCACUAAUGUUUAUUAAGUACCUCUUGUGAGCAAGGUCUUCUACAUUCCCUAGGAUUGGAUUUCCUCUGUGCUGUGUUUGUUUGCCUGUCUCCCCACUGCUGAGCCCAGUGUUUGGCACAUGGCAGGCGUCCCAAGUUACUGUUUCUUAAAGGACUGGGAAAGCAAGACACGGAAGGGAAAGCCCCAAAAAAGUCCUUUGAAGAGAAGCUCUGGACCUAGAAAGGGAGGAAAAAACCCGCUGCCCUAAUGAGUUCACUCAGUCAUGGUCUGAAAGGGCCCUUGGGAGAAGACGGAGAAGGAAACCAGCCCAGAAGAGUAAGAGACCUGCCGGUGGUCUCACGACAUGUCAGCACAGAGGUGGAGUCUACCCCCACCUCACACCCACCUCACACUUCCAUCCCCUUGCCUGCCUGCUACUUCUGGAAUGCCUCCCCUGCCCCCCACCAGAUCUCUGAGCUCCUCUUCCAGGAAGGCACCUGGUCAUCCCCAUCUGUCUGGCCUCCCCAGCCUCUGACCUCUGGAUCCAACUAUCGUCUUCUGUGUACAUCAGUCUGCCAGUUAGACCCGAAGUUGCACUGGCAAGGCUUAGUUAUUAGAUGGGCAGUGGCCAUUUUCAAAAUAAAAAUUGGAACUUGUGCUCCAACCAG